ACUGUCACUGUCUUUUACAACAAUGCAAAGGAGAAUCACAAACCUCCAGCAGGUGAGGCACAGGUUUGGGUGUGGAGGUUAGGAUCUUUGCCCUGGAGGAGGCUCAGGAGAGGACUGAGGCCGCCCUGGCCACAUCAGAGAAGUUGAAUGACCUCUACUCGCAGCUUUUGGACCUUCAUGAUAAGAUGGACACCCGAAUGGCUGAGCUAAAUCAGGUCACCUUCUCUGUCACAACUCUCAAGGCCCAUGUUCUAGAACCAGAGUGGGGAGUUUGACACCGUGAAGGAGAGCGUAGUGGCCGGUAUGAGCUCCAGCUCUGCACUGGCUGAAAAUCUGGCUGGGCUGAACAAUGCUGUGGUAUGCUCCAGAGUUGAUGAGCAGGUGGCGUCAGUGGAGACUCCUAAUGUACAGUUAGAGGGACAAACAUCAGAGCUGGACAUGCUGAAAGAGUCUUUGCUCCUUAAUAAUGUUGCAAUUUAUGCUAACAACCAGUCGGUGGUUUCCGUAAAGUGAACUCAGUUUGAUUUCACAGUGUGUGUGUGUGUGUGUGUGUUUCAGGGAGCUUGUUGAAGUUAAGCAGACCAAGCAUGCCCAGGCUUUACAAAAGUUGGUCAGGUCCGUGCAGAUGACUCUGGAUGAGCAGUUUUUGCUGGGGAGACAGCAGAAGAGGAGGUUGCAGAAGGGACUGUAGAUUAUCAUGUUUUGGAUGAGCCUUUGGAAGAGGAGGUAUCUGAAGAAGUUAUGGGAAGCUGAAUUAAAUGAUGAGGCCUUCCCGGGCGAAAAUGAGGAGGACGAUUAGUUAUACUUGAAAUGCUCCAGUAGAUGGAACUGUAAAUCAUUAAUUCCAAGGACUGUUUUUUCUGUCUGACAUACAGAUUGUGUCGGGUGAGCUGUCCGUCACUGAAAAACAUGAAAAACUUUCUAGAACUUUCAUAAAUACCUAAUUCCAGCCUUGUUAUUUAGGGUUUUACUUUUCUUCAGCAUACAUAUGGUCUCGUUAGAAAUUACAAGAAAGUCUCAACAGCAAGAAGUGAUAUAUGAUUGCUGUUGCUUGUUCAAUUUCAAAUAUGUAGUCAAGAGAAACAUGUUAAGGAUUGAAAGAAACAAUUAAAGUCAAAUAAAGAAAGGGUUCCUGAAAA